rnacentral:rRNA from 1 species
UGGGGAAUAUUGCACAAUGGGGGAAACCCUGAUGCAGCGACGCCGCGUGAAGGAAGAAGUAUCUCGGUAUGUAAACUUCUAUCAGCAGGGAAGAUAAUGACGGUACCUGACUAAGAAGCCCCGGCUAACUACGUGCCAGCAGCCGCGGUAAUACGUAGGGGGCAAGCGUUAUCCGGAUUUACUGGGUGUAAAGGGAGCGUAGGCGGCGGAGCAAGUCAGAAGUGAAAGCCCGGGGCUCAACCCCGGGACGGCUUUUGAAACUGCCCUGCUUGAUUUCAGGAGAGGUAAGCGGAAUUCCUAGUGUAGCGGUGAAAUGCGUAGAUAUUAGGAGGAACACCAGUGGCGAAGGCGGCUUACUGGACUGACAAUGACGCUGAGGCUCGAAAGCGUGGGGAGCAAACA